GCAAAGGCCCUUUUUAGGGCCACUCAAAUUAUUGUUAUGGACUGGU
rfam:Trichobilharzia regenti genome assembly, scaffold: TRE_contig0040819